AUUGAACGCUGGCGGCAUGCCUUACACAUGCAAGUCGAACGGCAGCACGGGAGCAAUCCUGGUGGCGAGUGGCGAACGGGUGAGUAAUAUAUCGGAACGUGCCCAGUCGUGGGGAUAACGUAGCGAAAGCUACGCUAAUACCGCAUACGAUCUACGGAUGAAAGCGGGGGAUCGCAAGACCUCGCGCGAUUGGAGCGGCCGAUAUCAGAUUAGGUAGUUGGUGAGGUAAAGGCUCACCAAGCCGACGAUCUGUAGCUGGUCUGAGAGGACGACCAGCCACACUGGGACUGAGACACGGCCCAGACUCCUACGGGAGGCAGCAGUGGGAAUUUUGGACAAUGGACGCAAGCCUGAUCCAGCAAUGCCGCGUGAGUGAUGAAGGCCU
rnacentral:rRNA from 1 species